UUUUUAUGGAAAACGAUCAGGAAUUCAAUGCUGAUCACGAAUUAAUAUUCGAUGUGGCCUGGGACAUGGCUGUAAGUGGCGUUUCUACAAUUUCUACAUUGGUGCAUUAAACAAGAGGGAGAGUCCAUAACGCGUCUUCAAACAUACUGGAAAAUACUAUGAAAAAUAUACAAUUUGCAAGGUGUGUGAGCUAGAAAUGAUAAUUGGCAAGAGUGGGGACACACUAACCAUACACACUUGUUCAUACACCGAACAUGUCGCAAACGAACUUUCUUGAUUACAUCCCAGGGUCUUCGGGUCUGGCUAUCGGCUACCGCCUCAUAAUAUAUUUCUCCGGAUAAGCGGCCUGAGGCUUUCCCGUGUCCUGCGCUGCUCUGUUGAUGUUCCCACUUAAAUCAGUUGGCGCACGCACCCUCUUCUUUUAUUUUUGUAUCGUCCAGCUCUAUUGGCCGAGACCCUCUCUGGCCAAAAACUGCUCUGUCGCGAUCCCCUUCUCUUACCUCGCCAGGUCGCCUCCACCGGUGGCCAGGAAGACCCUUUUCAUGCCAGCGGACUCCGAUAUGCCCACCAUCGCUUACGAGAGGCUUCACCCUUCUGGUCUUUAGGUUCAUAUGAGCGAGUGUGCGCUUGAUGACGGCUGUCAACUCCAGCCGCCUGACCGGCUGACAUCGCGAUCCUGGGAGUGUCGCCCCCUCCUGCAUACCGGUGUCAUGCCCGCCAUCGCUUAUCAGGGGUUUCCCCCUGCUGGUCUUCCGGUUCAUAUGAGCGAGUGUGCGCUCGAUGACGGCUGUCCACUCCAGGCGCCUGCCCAGCAGACAUCGCGAACUCCCCGCCGGCUCCAGCACAAGGGGCCACGAUGACAGAAUGGUAUCCCAGCAGGACAGAAGCUCACCCCUUGCAAUAUCCGAACCUAGCAAGCCAUCGUCAUCCUUCGACCCGACCACCGACCGCAAGGACUUUGACUAUGUCAACCAAGGGGCUACGCGGGCUAAUAGACUCAAGAUGUAGCUCGUAGUUGUUAGGUUUAAGGAUAUACGCGUCCAUUUAUUUAGAUAGUAGAUACAAAUGCUUAAACUUGUAUAUUUAUUUAUACUAAGCUAAGUUUUGAUGAAUAAAACUAUUGAAAGAUCAA